rnacentral:rRNA from 1 species
AGAGUUUGAUCCUGGCUCAGAUUGAACGCUGGCGGCGUGCUUAACACAUGCAAGUCGAACGAGAAAGGGACUUCGGUCCUGAGUAGAGUGGCGCACGGGUGAGUAACGCGUAGGUAAUCUACCUCUGCAUCUGGGAUAACACUUCGAAAGGGGUGCUAAUACCGGAUACACUUAUGGAUCGCAAGGUCUAUAAGGAAAGGAGACCUCUCCUUGGAAGUUUCUGUGUAGAGAUGAGCCUGCGUCCCAUUAGCUAGUUGGCAGGGUAAUGGCCUACCAAGGCGACGAUGGGUAGCGGGUCUGAGAGGAUGAUCCGCCACACUGGAACUGAAACACGGACCAGACUCCUACGGGAGGCAGCAGUGAGGAAUAUUGGACAAUGGGCGCAAGCCUGAUCCAGCGACGCCGCGUGAGUGAUGAAGGCCUUUGGGUCGUAAAGCUCUGUCAGCAGGGAAGAACGGCCGUGUGGUUAAUACCCAUGCGGAUUGACGGUACCUGCAGAGGAAGCACCGGCUAACUCCGUGCCAGCAGCCGCGGUAAUACGGAGGGUGCGAGCGUUAAUCGGAAUUACUGGGCGUAAAGGGCGCGUAGGCGGCCGAUCAAGUCAGAUGUGAAAGCCCACGGCUUAACCGUGUGAAGUGCAUCUGAAACUGGUCGGCUUGAGUAUCGGAGAGGAAAGUGGAAUUCCCGGUGUAGAGGUGAAAUUCGUAGAUAUCGGGAGGAAUACCGGUGGCGAAGGCGACUUUCUGGACGAAUACUGACGCUGAGGCGCGAAAGCGUGGGGAGCAAACAGGAUUAGAUACCCUGGUAGUCCACAGCUGUAAACGAUGUGCACUAGAUGUGGGGAAGUGUUGACCUUUCCUGUGUCGCAGCUAACGCAUUAAGUGCACCGCCUGGGGAGUACGGCCGCAAGGUUAAAACUCAAAGGAAUUGACGGGGCCCGCACAAGCGGUGGAGUAUGUGGUUUAAUUCGACGCAACGCGCAGAACCUU